UACGAAGGGUGCAAACGUUGCUCGGAAUUAUUGGGCGUAAAGCGCGCGCAGGCGGCCUUUUAAGUCUGAUGUGAAAGCCCACGGCUCAACCGUGGAAGGUCAUUGGAAACUGAAAGGCUUGAGUACAGAAGAGGAAAGCGGAAUUCCACGUGUAGCGGUGAAAUGCGUAGAGAUGUGGAGGAACACCAGUGGCGAAGGCGGCUUUCUGGUCUGUAACUGACGCUGAGGCGCGAAAGCGUGGGGAGCAAACAGG
rnacentral:rRNA from 1 species